GUGAAUCAUCAAAUUUUUGAACGCAAAUUGCACUCUCUUCGGAUAGUAUGCCUGUGUGAGUGUCAGAAUUAAUAAAAAUAGGAGUGUUGCUUCUUUGUGUCGCUCUGGAGUUUUGGUCAUCUUAAUAUAUCCAUUAGGUGAUAUGAGGCUUAAAAUUGACUUUUUUUUGCGCAUUUUAUUAAAUGUACAUAAAUUUUUUUUUUUAUUGUUCUGUCUUAAUUAUCAAAACCCUAUUAGAUUCAACCAUAUCGUGUGAUUUCGUGUCUAUAAAUUUAUCAUGGUUU
rnacentral:misc_RNA from 1 species